CCUACGGGUGGCACCAGUGGGGAAUAUUGCACAAUGGGCGCAAGCCUGAUGCAGCCAUGCCGCGUGUAUGAAGAAGGCCUUCGGGUUGUAAAGUACUUUCAGCGGGGAGGAAGGUGUUGUGGUUAAUAACCACAGCAAUUGACGUUACCCGCAGAAGAAGCACCGGCUAACUCCGUGCCAGCAGCCGCGGCAAUACGGAGGGUGCAAGCGUUAAUCGGAAUUACUGGGCGUAAAGCGCACGCAGGCGGUCUGUUAAGUCAGAUGUGAAAUCCCCGGGCUCAACCUGGGAACUGCAUUUGAAACUGGCAGGCUUGAGUCCUGUAGAGGGGGGUAGAAUUCCAGGUGUAGCGGUGAAAUGCGUAGAGAUCUGGAGGAAUACCGGUGGCGAGGGCGGCCCCCUGGACAAAGACUGACGCUCAGGUGCGAAAGCGUGGGGAGCAAACAGGAUUAGAUACCCGCGUAGUC
rnacentral:rRNA from 1 species